rnacentral:lncRNA from 1 species
AACAACAUAAUGCUGUCUGUUACUCAUGAUUUCCAUUUGGUAUUAACUCUUUUCUGUUCUCUGAAUAAGGUGAACACGGACAUGUUCAGGAGGUGUGGGGUCAAGCACCGCAUGUCCUCCGCCUACCACCCGCAAACUAAUGGUAUGUGGAAUAGCAUUAUCACACUGUUGGGUGCAAUUGUCAUUUGUGGUAAAGAAAAAUGUUUAUUUUGGUUAUUGUUAUCACUUCGACAAACAGGAUUGGAUGAGAGGACAAACCAAACUCUCAAAAUUUCGAUUGGGAAGACCCUCGACGGACUUCAGGAGAGGUGGGAAGAUCAAUUAAAAGAAAUUGUUUUUGCCCACAACUCUUGUGUUCAGUCUUCUUCUAGGUUCUCGCCUUUCCGCCUGAUGUAUGGCCGUGAGCCACGACUCUUUUGUGAGGUCACUGGAGGAGACUCUCCGGAGGAGGAGGAUGUCGACAGUCCAGAUGAGGCGGACGUCGAGGCCUAUGUCGAGGAGCGACACAGGAAAGAUGCCGAGGUUUUUGAAAAGGUGCAUGCCAACCUGGAGAGGGCCCAGCAGAGACAGAGAGAUGCCUACGGGAAGAGGAUUAAGAAGGGGACCAAGAGGUAUCCUAUCAGGCCAGGGAUGGUGGUGUUGAAGAAGGAUGAGCGGAAGCGCGGGAGGCCAGGCAUGACAAUGAAGCCUACUUGGCCAAACAAGUACAAGUAAGUAGACAUGUCUCGUUUUUAGUGGUUUCUGACGUAGUGUGGUGGUUUGAGGCACAUUAACUUAUACAACAUAUGCAACCCCAUAAAAAAGAAUGCUCUGAAGCUGCACGUGAGAAGUAUAAGUUAAUAUGACGUGAGUUGGCACUAAUUUCACAUAUUUUUCAAGGGUGGUGAAGGUGGAGGACAAUUUUGUGGAGCUGGAGACCAUGGAUGGAAUCCCUCUGACUUCCAGGACACCCUACGCUUCAGUGAAGCCAGUUCGUAUCAGUAUGUGCUCUACUGUUAUACUUAUACUCAUACUCAUACUUACGUUAGUCUGCUAUGCCUAAACAUCUUUUCUUACUUGCUCUGGUGCAUUUCCAAAGUUGUCAUUUAUGUGUGCACAGUAGUCAGAGAGAAUAAAAGUUCAAGCCUUUUUCUCUUUGCCA